UUUUCUAUAUCUAAGGAUUUUCUGUCUUCACGCUCCUACAGCCUGCAGGAAGAGGAGGAUUUCCACAAUUCCUGACAAACAGGCUGGAGACCAGACUCAGAGAAAUGCCAGUCAGCCCCUUCAGAUGGCAGAAAAAGGUCUUUAUUGAAAGUAUUAAAAGAGAUUCAGUGUCAUUUGUUAUGGUUCAUGGUGCGGGUGACCCUGGCAGGUCCCACGGCCGGGAGGAGACAGACAGUUACUUCUGAAAUCUGUUUGAGAAACAAUACCAAUCAAUAUAAUAACAGCAAGAGAAGACUCUUGGGAGUGACACUGAAGAGCACAUGAUGCCACUUUGAAUCACACAGACCUCUGCAUAUUAAAUAAAGAGGGAUGAGCUUCUAGAGAGAACCGUGCAUAGAAAGCAGCCUCUUCAGCGGCCAGCUUUUCUAACAGUGCAACAACAACAAAGAAAAGCCGGCAAAUUUCUUUCCUUAAAACCUUGCCCUUGACUGGAUGCUUCUGAAAGGAUUUCUGCGCAAGUCAUUCUUGUUUCGAAGCGAACAGAACAGUCAUACUCAAGUCACAAGAUGUCAGUUGUGUAAACAGAAUAUUGCCCUCCUGAAAACAUCCACAUUUGAAUCUAACACCCUGUGAAGAUAAGUCACCUUACAGGACAAAAGGGGCCUGGGUGAGGUGCUUGAGAUUUCUCGAUGAGUAGAAUCUCAUCACACAGGAGCUAAACUGGGGGAUUCUUCCCCGCUGUGGUGAGAAGCAACCUCAGUGAAAUAGCCUUGGGAGCAGAAGUAAAGGGGUUGGAAGGUGGAGAAAAGGGACCAGCGGCCAAGGAAUGUGGGUAGCUUUUAGAAGCUGGAAUGGCCAGGAAACGGAUCCGUUUUUAAAACUUCCCGAAAGGAAUGCAUCUGUGCUGUCUCUUCGUUUUAUCCCUCAGCCACGCCAGUCAGACUUCUGACCUAUCUAACUAUAAAAACGAAAUCCCUUUGUUUUAAGCCUUCCAGUUUGUACCAACAGCAAGAGGAGUAGAGAUCGCACAUCCUCAAAGCGGGGUGAGGGGAGGAGCUGUGUCCUCCCUUCUGGGAUGUCUCUCUACUUUGUUCUUUGUUUUUUCCUUUAGUAUUUUUUUUUUUUUAAGAUCGGGGAAAAAUUAAAUUUUUCCUAAGAUACCAGCAGGAACUGAAAAUACUCCCCUACUGAACAAAGAGCACAAAACCAAACAGCAUUCAAACCAUAUAUCCACACCCUUUCCUGCUUUCAUAGUGCCUGCUUUACCAUCCUGCCCUCGAGAUUUUCCCCACACAAUGGCCUUUUUCUAGUUCCUGACUUUACAGUUCUCCAGUUUAAACACAGCAGGCUACAGAGGCAAAGCUAAGGGCCACAUAUGAGAGAGAAGACACAGCGUUUGUCUCACUGGUCGGUUUAAUUUUUUUCAGCUCCAUCUAUUUGCUUGUAAAUUUCAUAAUUUCAUUUUUUAUCUCCAAUUAAAUAAAGCCCUAUUGUAUACACGUCUGUUAUCCACUCCUCAG